GACGAACGCUGGCGGCGUGCUUAACACAUGCAAGUCGAACGGAAAGGCCCUGCUUUUGUGGGGUGCUCGAGUGGCGAACGGGUGUGUAACACGCGAGUAACCUGCCCUUGACUUUGGGAUAACUUCAGGAAACUGGGGCUAAUACCGGAUAGGAUCUCCUGCUGCAUGGUGGUGGUUGGAACGUUUCGGCGGUUGGGGAUGGACUCGCGUCUUAUCAGCUUGUUGGUGGGGUAGUGGCUUACCAAGGCUUUGACGGGUAGCCGGCCUGAGAGGGUGACCGGCCCCAUUGGGACUGAGAUACGGCCCAGACUACUACGGUAGGCAGCAGUGGGGAAUAUUGCACAAUGAGCGGAAGCCUGAUGCAGCAACGCCGCGUGCGGGAUGACGGCCUUCGGGUUGUAAACCGCUUUCGCCUGUGACGAAGCGUGAGUGACGGUAAUGGGUAAAGAAGCACCGGCUAACUACGUG
rnacentral:rRNA from 1 species